rnacentral:lncRNA from 1 species
GGCCGGCAGAGGCAGAGGUCAUGAUAGAGGCUACGAGCGUGGCUGUGGCCAUGAAAGAGAAGGAUUAGGUAGAGAUAAAGCAAAUCAAAACAUUAUACGUGAGAGACCAGGUGCAAAAAGUCAGAGGUAUAAAUCUAAGAUUCAAUGUUACACUUGUAAAAAAUAUGGACAUUAUUCCUCUGAAUAUUUUUAUAAUAAAAAUAAUCAAGUUGAAGAAGCAGUUAAUUAUGU